UACGGGGGGGGGCAAGCGUUGUUCGGAUUUACUGGGCGUAAAGGGCUCGUAGGCGGCCACCUAAGUCGGUUGUGAAAUCCCACGGCUCAACCGUGGAACUGCGACCGAUACUGGGUGGCUUGAAGCCGGGAGAGGGAUGCGGAAUUUCAGGUGUAGCGGUGAAAUGCGUAGAUAUCUGAAGGAACACCCGUGGCGAAGGCGGCAUCCUGGACCGGUCUUGACGCUGAGGAGCGAAAGCUAGGGGAGCGAA
rnacentral:rRNA from 1 species